AACUUCUCCAAACCCUAGCAGCCCUUUCUCUUCGGUUGUAAGUCCAAGAACCCAAAAGCCGAAUCUAGGGCUCGUCUCCAGCGGCCGGCGAGGACUUUUUUCGACGAGAUCUCCACACCUUCGUGAUCCCCUCGUCGAGAAGAA